rnacentral:sRNA from 12 species
ACGGUCGCCAAACCGCCAAGAGUGUAGAAUGGUUGUAAUUCGUCCGGGGGGCGUUCCGGAAACGUGCUGUCCCCAGCGUCGAUUUCUUCCAGUUCGAAAAGAGAGCGACAAUU